CAUCAACUUCUCUCACAACCUAGGCCAGCUCCUGUCUCCCCCCAGGUGUGUGGUGAUGCCAGGCAUGCCCUUCCCCAGCAUCAGGUCUCCAGAGCUGCAGAAGACGACGGCCGACUUGGAUCACACUCUUGCAGGGCCAUCAGGCACCAAAGGGAUUCUGCCAGCAUAGUGCUCCUGGACCAGUGAUACACCCGGCACCCUGUCCUGGACA